GACGAACGCUGGCGGCGUGCUUAACACAUGCAAGUCGAACGGAGCGAAUGAAAGCUUGCUUUUAUAAGCUUAGUGGCAAACGGGUGAGUAACACGUAGACAACCUGCCGACAGGAUGGGGACAACAUUCCGAAAGGAAUGCUAAUACCGAAUGAAGUCAGAGAAGGGCAUCCUUUUCUGAUGAAAGAUGGCCUCUAUAUAUAAGCUAUCACCUGUUGAUGGGUCUGCGUCUGAUUAGCUGGUAGGUGAGGUAACGGCUCACCUAGGCGACGAUCAGUAGCCGGUCUGAGAGGAUGAACGGCCACAUUGGGACUGAGACACGGCCCAGACUCCUACGGGAGGCAGCAGUGGGGAAUCUUCCGCAAUGGGCGCAAGCCUGACGGAGCAACGCCGCGUGAGUGAAGAAGGUCUUCGGAUCGUAAAGCUCUGUUGAUGGGGACGAACGUGCCUAAUGCGAAUAGUAUUAGGU
rnacentral:rRNA from 1 species